GGGCGGGUGAUCUAGCCUGGCAUGAUGCCGCGCUUACUACGCGGCUGUCGCCGGUUCAAAUCCGGCCCCGCCCACCA
rnacentral:tRNA from 1 species